rnacentral:rRNA from 1 species
AUUUUAGUGCUUGCACUAAAUGAAACUAGAUACAAGCGAGCGGCGGACGGGUGAGUAACACGUGGGUAACCUGCCCAAGAGACUGGGAUAACACCUGGAAACAGAUGCUAAUACCGGAUAACAACACUAGACGCAUGUCUAGAGUUUGAAAGAUGGUUCUGCUAUCACUCUUGGAUGGACCUGCGGUGCAUUAGCUAGUUGGUAAGGUAACGGCUUACCAAGGCAAUGAUGCAUAGCCGAGUUGAGAGACUGAUCGGCCACAUUGGGACUGAGACACGGCCCAAACUCCUACGGGAGGCAGCAGUAGGGAAUCUUCCACAAUGGACGAAAGUCUGAUGGAGCAACGCCGCGUGAGUGAAGAAGGGUUUCGGCUCGUAAAGCUCUGUUGGUAGUGAAGAAAGAUAGAGGUAGUAACUGGCCUUUAUUUGACGGUAAUUACUUAGAAAGUCACGGCUAACUACGUGCCAGCAGCCGCGGUAAUACGUAGGUGGCAAGCGUUGUCCGGAUUUAUUGGGCGUAAAGCGAGUGCAGGCGGUUCAAUAAGUCUGAUGUGAAAGCCUUCGGCUCAACCGGAGAAUUGCAUCAGAAACUGUUGAACUU